rnacentral:snRNA from 1 species
GUAUAUUUCAUUGCAGUAGCACAUAUACUAAAAUUGAAAUGAUGCAGAGAAGAUUAGCAUGGCCCCUGUGCAGAGAUGACACGCAAAAUUUUUUU